UACGAAGGUGGCAAGCGUUGUUCGGAUUUACUGGGCGUACAGGGUGCGUAGGCGGUUGGAUAAGCCCUCCGUGAAAUCUCCAGGCUUAACCUGGAAAGUGCAGAGGGGACUGUUCAGCUAGAGGAUGGGAGAGGAGCGCGGAGUUCCCGGUGUAGCGGUGAAAUGCGUAGAGAUCGGGAGGAAGGCCGGUGGCGAAGGCGGCGCUCUGGAACAUUUCUGACGCUGAGACUCGAAAGCGUGGGGAGCAAACAGG
rnacentral:rRNA from 1 species